rnacentral:rRNA from 1 species
UGAGCAAUCUGCCCUUCUCAUCGGAAUAAGCGUUGGAAACGACGUCUAAUGCCGAAUACGACCUCCUUUCGCAUGAUCGGAGGUGGAAAGCUCCGGCGGAGAAGGAUGAGCUCGCGGCCUAUCAGCUAGUUGGUGUGGGUAACGCCCACCAAGGCGACGACGGGUAGCCGGCCUGAGAGGGUGACCGGCCACACUGGGACUGAGACACGGCCCAGACUCCUACGGGAGNAGUAGG